GAUAAACGCUGGCGGCGUGCUUAACACAUGCAAGUCGAACGAAGUUUUUCCUUCGGGAGAAACUUAGUGGCGGACGGGUGGGUAACGCGUGGGUAACCUGCCCUGUACAGGGGGACAACAGCUGUAAACGGCUGCUAAUACCGCAUAAGCCCUUAGCACUGCAUGGUGCAUAGGGAAAAGGAGCAAUCCGGUACAGGAUGGACCCGCGUCUGAUUAGCCAGUUGGCAGGGUAACGGCCUACCAAAGCGACGAUCAGUAGCCGAUCUGAGAGGAUGUACGGCCACAUUGGGACUGAGACACGGCCCAGACUCCUACGGGAGGCAGCAGUGGGGAAUAUUGCACAAUGGAGGAAACUCUGAUGCAGCGACGCCGCGUGAGUGAAGAAGUAUUUCGGUAUGUAAAGCUCUAUCAGCAGGGAAGAAAAUGACGGUACCUGACUAAGAAGCACCGGCUAAAUACGUG
rnacentral:rRNA from 1 species